rnacentral:ncRNA from 2 species
GGGAAGCCGGUGCAAUUCCGGCGCUGUCCCGCAACCGUGAGCCGCUCGUCGGCAAGCCGGAGCACC